rnacentral:rRNA from 1 species
UCAAGCGCGAGAAGGGCGUUUGGUGGAUGCCUUGGCAGUAAGAGGCGAUGAAGGACGUGAUACUCUGCGAUAAGCUUUGGGAAGUCGAGAAUAGACGCUAUACCCAAAGAUCUCCGAAUGGGGCAACCCAACUGAUACUUUGUUAUUGUUACACUUUGUGUAAUCAAUAAUGGGGUAAAACAGUUAUUAAUUACCUGAAUACAUAGGGUUUUUAAAGCAAACCUGGGGAACUGAAACAUCUAAGUACCCAGAGGAAAGGAAAUCAAUAGAUACUCCCGUAGUAGUGGCGAGCGAACCGGGACCAGCCGAGCAAUGAAUGUGACUAGAACCAGUUGGAAAGCUGGGCGAUAUGGGUGACAGCCCCGUAUAGGAAGCAUGAUUUGACGUAUUAAGUAGGGCGGAACACGUGAAAUUCUGUCUGAACAUGGGGGGACCACCCUCUAAGGCUAAGUACUCCUUACUGACCGAUAGCGAACCAGUACCGUGAGGGAAAGGUGAAAAGCACCCCGACGAGGGGAGUGAAACAGUUUCUGAAACCGGACGCCUACAAACAGUUGGAGCCUCUUUAUGGGGUGACAGCGUACCUUUUGUAUAAUGGGUCAACGACUUGGUCUUACUAGCAAGCUUAAGCCGAUAGGUGUAGGCGCAGCGAAAGCGAGUCUUAAUAGGGCGAAUGAGUUAGUAGGAUCAGACCCGAAACCGAGUGAUCUAGGCAUGAGCAGGUUGAAGGUAAGGUAACACUUACUGGAGGACCGAACCCACAUCUGUUGAAAAAGAUCGGGAUGACUUGUGCCUAGGGGUGAAAGGCCAAUCAAACUCGGAGAUAGCUGGUUCUCCGCGAAAUCUAUUUAGGUAGAGCGUCGCACGAAUACCUUGGGGGGUAGAGCACUGAAUGGGUAAUGGGGACUCACCGUCUUACUGAUCCUAAUCAAACUCCGAAUACCCAAGAGUAAUAUGCGGCAGACACACUGCGGAUGCUAACGUCCGUAGUGGAGAGGGAAACAACCCUGACCCUCAGCUAAGGCCCCUAAUUCAUGGCUAAGUGGGAAAGCAGGUGGGACGACCAAAACAACCAGGAAGUUGGCUUAGAAGCAGCCAUCUUUUAAAGAUAGCGUAACAGCUCACUGGUCUAAUUUAAGUUAUCCUGCGGCGAAGAUGUACCGGGGCUCAAGCCAUGAGCCGAAGCUAGGGAUGCAAUUUAUUGCAUGGUAGCGGAGCGUUCUGUGAUAUAGAACGCUGCGUCUUUAGUAUCUUAGGAUAUUUUGGACGCAAUGUUCUGACUGUGAAGCCGGCGCGUAAGCGAUCCGGUGGAGUGAUCAGAAGUGAGAAUGUUGACAUGAGUAGCGACAAACAGGGUGAGAGACCCUGUCGCCGAAAGUCCAAGGGUUCCUGCUUAAAGCUAAUCUGAGCAGGGUAAGCCGACCCCUAAGGCGAGGCCGAAAGGCGUAGUCGAUGGGAACCAGUUUAAUAUUACUGGGCCAGGAGAUGGUGACGGAUCGAAAGCGUAGUGACUCCUUAUCGGAUUGAAGUUGCUGCCGGACGGUUCCUGGAAAUAGCCCUCCAUUAGAUCGUACCCUAAACCAACACAGGUGGACUGGUAGAGAAUACCAAGGCGCUUGAGAGAACUACAUUGAAGGAACUCGGCAAAAUGCCUCCGUAAGUUCGCGAGAAGGAGGCCCCAUCAGAAGGCAACUUUUGGUGGGGGGCACAGACCAGGGGGUGGCGACUGUUUACUAAAAACACAGGGCUCUGCGAAGUCGUAAGACGACGUAUAGGGUCUGACGCCUGCCCGGUGCUGGAAGGUUAAGAGGAGGUGUGCAAGCACUGAAUUGAAGCCCCAGUAAACGGCGGCCGUAACUAUAACGGUCCUAAGGUAGCGAAAUUCCUUGUCGGGUAAGUUC